AAUGCAUUUCAAAGGGGGACUGGACUAUAAAGUGAGGGGCAAAAACACCCAAGGUUUCUCUCACUCUUUCACCUAAGAAGACAAAAGAAACAGCUAUUUUGACUUUGGGAGAGAUUUUGACCUGAAAUUUGGUCCACUCUGAUGCUGGGAGCAUGUGCCCACUGGUCAGAUCUCCUGAAGAAACGAACGGCAGGUGGAUGAACUCAGUUGGACCUACUGGAUGUGGAGCUAAGCACAGAGAGGUGCUGUGAUUUGCCCACAGUCACCCAGCAGACCCAUAGCAGAACUAGGAAGAGAACCCAGGUUUCCUAAGUCCUAACCCACUGCCGUAUCCCCAGAUCUAGUACCAAUGGAUCUGAGAUGUCCAGGGGGAGGAAAGUCUCAGAGUGGAGCAAACAAUGAAGGCAAGUAAUGAGGCCAUGGCUGAAGAGACAGACUGACAACUCCGGGAACAUGAGAGUGAGCAUGCACAUCUUGCAACAGAGUGAGGGAUGAAACUAUGUAAGCACAGGCACAAUGCAUGGACAGAAUGUGCUGGAUACCUCAGGGAACAAGUCUUAUUAUGAGAGUCAAAGCCAAGCCCAUCACUUA